rfam:Avibacterium paragallinarum JF4211, WGS project CBMK01000000 data, contig: 18-3-45-14-71-52
GAUCGGGUGGCGUUUCGUACAUACAAUACCGUAAGGAAAAACGAAAGGCUGACUUUAGGCAGUGUUGAAGCACCCGAUCGCCCUAUC